AACGAACGCUGGCGGCAGGCCUAACACAUGCAAGUCGAACGCACCGCAAGGUGAGUGGCGCACGGGUGAGUAACAAGUGGGAAUGUACCCUUUGGUUCGGAAUAACGUCUGGAAACGGACGCUAAUACCGGAUGAGCCCUACGGGGGAAAGAGUUAUCGCCAAAGGAGCAGCCCGCGUCUGAUUAGCGAGUUGGUGGGGUAAAGGCCAACCAAGGCGGCGACAAGUGGCUGGUCUGUGAGGAUGAUCAGCCACACUGGGCCUGCGCCACGGCCCAGACUCCUGCGCGGGGGAGCCGUGGGGAAGCUUGAACGAUGGGCGGUAGCCUGACCCCGCCAUGCCGCGUGGGUAAUGAAGGCCUUCGGGUUGUAAAGCUCUUUCGCACACGACGAUGAUGACGGUAGUGUGAGAAGAAGCCCCGGCUAACUUCGUGCCAGCCGCCGCCGUAAGAC
rnacentral:rRNA from 1 species